rnacentral:rRNA from 1 species
GCGGCAGGCCUAACACAUGCAAGUCGAGCGGAUGAAAGGAGCUUGCUCCUGGAUUCAGCGGCGGACGGGUGAGUAAUGCCUAGGAAUCUGCCUGGUAGUGGGGGACAACGUUUCGAAAGGAACGCUAAUACCGCAUACGUCCUACGGGAGAAAGCAGGGGACCUUCGGGCCUUGCGCUAUCAGAUGAGCCUAGGUCGGAUUAGCUAGUUGGUGAGGUAAUGGCUCACCAAGGCGACGAUCCGUAACUGGUCUGAGAGGAUGAUCAGUCACACUGGAACUGAGACACGGUCCAGACUCCUACGGGAGGCAGCAGUGGGGAAUAUUGGACAAUGGGCGAAAGCCUGAUCCAGCCAUGCCGCGUGUGUGAAGAAGGUCUUCGGAUUGUAAAGCACUUUAAGUUGGGAGGAAGGGUUGUAGAUUAAUACUCUGCAAUUU